CCCCAAAGUGUUGAGUUCAGUGCAGGGUUUUCACCCCUGUUCUGGUAAUUAAACUUUGGUACACUAAAUAGUUGGGAGAAGUCAGAGGUGGAAAAUCUUGUUUUUCUGCCUGUUACUUUCCCAGCCCACAAAA
ensembl:snoRNA